UGGAGGUUGUGCCCUUGAGGUGUGGCUUCCGGAGCUAACGCGUUAAGUCGACCGCCUGGGGAGUACGGCCGCAAGGUUAAAACUCAAAUGAAUUGACGGGGGCCCGCACAAGCGGUGGAGCAUGUGGUUUAAUUCGAUGCAACGCGAAGAACCUUACCUGGUCUUGACAUCCACGGAAGUUUUCAGAGAUGAGAAUGUGCCUUCGGGAACCGUGAGACAGGUGCUGCAUGGCUGUCGUCAGCUCGUGUUGUGAAAUGUUGGGUUAAGUCCCGCAACGAGCGCAACCCUUAUCCUUUGUUGCCAGCGGUCCGGCCGGGAACUCAAAGGAGACUGCCAGUGAUAAACUGGAGGAAGGUGGGGAUGACGUCAAGUCAUCAUGGCCCUUACGACCAGGGCUACACACGUGCUACAAUGGCGCAUACAAAGAGAAGCGACCUCGCGAGAGCAAGCGGACCUCAUAAAGUGCGUCGUAGUCCGGAUUGGAGUCUGCAACUCGACUCCAUGAAGUCGGAAUCGCUAGUAAUCGUGGAUCAGAAUGCCACGGUGAAUACGUUCCCGGGCCUUGUACACACCGCCCGUCACACCAUGGGAGUGGGUUGCAAAAGAAGUAGGUAGCUUAACCUUCGGGAGGGCGCUUACCACUUUGUGAUUCAUGACUGGGGUGAAGUCGUAACAAGGUAACCGUAGGGGAACCUGCGGUUGGAUCACCUCCUUACCUUAAAGAAGC
rnacentral:rRNA from 1 species